AUGAGCACAGCUGCUUGGAAACAGCUCUCCGCUGGGCCUCUUGCAACGGUGCAGAGAAAAGCUGCCCAGUGCCACCCCUCUGCAGGCGCUGCUUUUAUUCCAGGUAGGAACAAAAACUUGCUUUGUAAAUUUUUUCCCCCCCACGUCCUUCCUGCGAGCAGCCCGGCCGCGGGGCACUGCGGCCUUUGGCCAAAUGAAAGCCUUGGUGCAGGCAGCGGCACUGCAAAGCUCCGACCUUCCAGGCAGGGCUUUGGGGUGGAGGUGCCUGCAGGAGACAACUGUGCUCGAGGGUCUGUUGGAAGAGGGGAGCGAAAUAUUUCCCCAGCCCGCUCCCGGCUGAGGAAUGCAGCUCGGGCUGAGGCGGUGAGCAGGGGCAGGGACACGGCAUUCUUCCUGCUCGCCGGGAUCCAGCGCCGUCUAGACUUCGUAACGCACCGCCCGGCCUUGAACUGCUGCCACGGCAUCUCCCGGCGCUUCCCCUCGGUGGAAGCGGAGCAGCCUGCGCUCUGCCAAAGCCUCAGUCACGCGAACGAGCUCCCAGUUCCUGCCGGCUUUGGCAAUUCGUCCCGCUCAGCCUGUGAACGUGCAGCAGGUGGGAGCGAAGCUCAUUUCCAAACCCACGGCCUGCCGAAAACAAAAAAACCCGACCUGAUUUCCACAAGGAGGGAACGGCCACAUCUCCCUCCGGGCUGGUGGAGAUGCCUGGCCGCGGGGAGGGAUGCUCCUGCAAAGGGAACCCCCAGACCAGCUCUCUGGGGAGCUGAUCCUUGGGUCAAGCAUCAUUUCCCUCUCACUCCAAUACUGAUCCCGCCUGCUGUUGGUGUGCUGGCAGGUUUGGGUGCCUGGCACGAUGCUCCUUGGAGAGCUCUGGUUUCCAGAGGUCGGGUCCCAAGCGUGCACAUCAGUUCUCUGCUGCUCGGUGUGAAAACGGAGGCAGCUCAGAUGCUCGGUCAUUUUGUUGCGUGUUCCUGGGCUCCACCAAAAGGCCAUGCAUCCCUCUGCAGAAGUGCUGGGUGA
rnacentral:lncRNA from 1 species